GGGGAUGUAGCUCAUUUGGUAGAGUGUUAAUCAAUGAUAAAAGGCAUGGGUUCAACUCCUCGCAUCUCCA
rnacentral:tRNA from 7 species